UGUCUGUGAGUACAACAGUUUAAAACCCAAAGCGCUGUAUGAGGUGAAAGGGGCCUGUCCAGCACCGAGUGUGGUUAUACACUCAGGAACAAUCACGGCCGUAACGACUUCGUCAGCCUCCGAGCACCACCAAAGACUUUAUAAGCAUUUCCCUUUCAUCAAAGCUCAGCCUGUGCGUGAGGCUACAGCAGGAUCACAGCUACAGCACACGACACCGGCAAAUCCUACUCACUGCAUGCAAACACAGGUUUGGAUCGCAAGAAAAUUAUACACGUCCUUGUUAAAAUAAGCUGAGCAGGAGCCACUGAGCAGCCCAACGCCCACAUCACAACCCUCUGGAGGUGAAUCUAAGUUCGGGAGAGAAUUGAAGAGGUUGGCAUAUUUUUCCAUCCUUGCUGAUGCACCCUCAUUCUUGGCCCGUGUAACUGGAUAGUUGGAGAGUUUUACCACCACGGCUACAGUGCUCUCCGCUUCCCCAGGUAACACAAAUAUCCCCACACAGCACGGCACAGCACUAACUGCUCAUUCGCAUUUUUGCAUUGCACCCACUGUGACUUACAAAGAGCAAAACAGCUUCACCAGACUGAAACCAAAGCAUGCAAACUGUUUCUUUCCCCAUUUCCUUCUCCCUACUAUUGCACUGGUCAAAAACGAUUCUAGGAACAGUUCCCGUGACAGGAAAAUCCAGGUUAAAUAGGUAAGAAAAAAUAUUUAUAACUAAGCUCAAGGACUUAUUGCAAAAAAAUCUGUCUUUCUGCCGCAAGUCCUGCAGCUUGUGUAUCCCUCUUUUUCUCCUUCUCAUUCACCAACACAAUACUAACCAUAGCUGAAAAAAACAAAUAGAAACAUAGAGAUAUAAAUCAAAUGGAAUAAAACUUUUAAAAAUUAACACAUUCAACACAUUCAAAGCAGACCUCAAGAGUGUAUUUUGAGUAAACAUUGUCUGUUAAGCUUGCUUGGGUGCAUAAAGCUACACAGUUCAGGAUUAAUAAUAUGAAGAUUACUUAGUCUAUAAAAAAUUAAAAGUUCAAGCUACAAGCAUGUAUCUAUCCUAUUGUGCAUAAGUGAAUAUAGUCUACUUCCUUUAGUCUCACCUGGCUAUUACUUAGUUCAGACUUACUAUUUAGUAGCACUUCAAGUGUCCUGUUGCACAUAAACAGAACUGACAUCGUAAGUUACUCUUUGAGUCAACAGUACUUUUGAGAGAUCUUGUAAACUCAGGACAGUAUAUUCUCUUUUAAGGAUGUAACAAGUUCAACUGACAGUGCCCUUUCCUGAUCAGAAAUUCUAACGCUGUUCUAAAAAGAUUGUCUGUCAAUUUAUUUCUCCCAGAGAUCUCAAAAUUAAUAAAUAUAUUUUAAAGCUACCUGUUGAGGCAGCCAGACUUCAGCUGCAAGGGUAAAUUCACUCAGCAUGACCUCUCAUUGCUUCUGCAGCAUCUUCAGAAAGAGACAGUUCAUGCAGCAGAUGAUGUGCCUACAGAGGAGCGAUUUUCUCUUUUUUCCCUUGCCAGUCCAAAAUAUUCCAGCUGUACAUGAAGGCUCGUUGCCAGCCUGGGGGGUUAUUUCUUAUUGAGGCAUUGCCCUUCAAUAUUCAGCGCCUAAUUGCAUUAGCUCAACUUCUUUACAAGUGUUUAUCCAUCCCUUAAAAUCUUCCUUAGCUUCUCGCUGUCCUCUUGUUAUUUCAACACACAGAAGUGAACGGGACAACUCCAGCACACCAAAGCCACAGAAAGGAUGGCAGCCUUUUUCACCAACCUAGCCAGAUCUGGAGGUACCUACCAACACAAGAACUUCUAAUUCAGAGCACUGCUCGCAAAAGUUAAAUUUGAUGGGGGAAAAAAAAAAAAAAAGCCAAAAAAAAAGCCAAACCCAGCCACAUGUCCUCUCCGAGCAGCUACUUUUUUUUCUGUUCAGUCUAUGUUUGGUGCUAAGAUGGACCAGGCUUUCUGUAGCCAACAAUCUUCUGCCUGUAAGCAGUACUUUGUAACGCAAACACCAAAUAUCGGAGCAAUGCAGUCUACUCACUUUCAAGCCUAACACUAGUCUUCCCAAAUACUUCUGCCAAGCUUCUGCCUUGAAGUAACCGCUUCCAGAUUCCUCUUCCUGCAGAUUUCCUAACUUCGUUACUUACCGGCUUCUACUGCUAAAGCUUGUUUUGCUUCCUGCAUCUGUUCUUUCUGUGCCUUUGUCCAUGGUACUUCCUUUAGAUUUUUUAAAGCAGCCUAUCAACAUAGCAUCUUCCAGAGCUGUAUUAACACCACUUGCAUUUUUGUAACUCUUACGACCAGAGAACACAAAGUGGACUAUAAAUUCCAACAACUGUGGCCUUAUAAUGUCAUGCUUAUAGCUAUCCCAAGAUUUUACUGAUGCUGCUCAGGAAAAGCUUUAAAAUCUCUCUGAAAACCACUGAUACUUCCAGGAAAUAGGUUUACUAUCCUGCUUACUUAUCUUUGGUGACUGAGAACGAUAUCAUCUGCUUUACAAAAUUUUAAAUUACAUAAUGAAUGUGAUAUUCAAAUCCAAGACAAAAGUCUGAUGGUCUCACUGCAACUAUAUUAUAACUCCAUAAACAUUACACCAUUUUGAAUUUUCUCUUAAAAUUGUGCUCAUUUUCAUGAUCAUGCUAACAACAUGAGCAUGCUAACAAGCUAACAACUGGUCUUUACGCUGAUUUUUUUCUUCUCUUAAGGUUAGGGAUCACAUUAGGGAUUCAAGUUCCAUUUGCAGAACCUAUACCUGUGGAAACACUUGCUUUUGCAGUAUUUCAGAUUUGUGCCAUGCUACAGUAGUUAACAGCUCUUCAAAGUGCUGACAAAUGACUUUUGUAAUGAUUAAAAUAACCAUGUUGCUCUUUCUGAAAUGUGAUAUUCUAACUUCAUCUGAUAGUAAAGGACCUUUCAAAUGCAAAGCAAUGAAUAAAGUCACCACCAGCUUCCCGACUGUCCUGGAUUUCCCUCUACUACCAACACUUUUCAUGUUGCAUGGGCCAGUCUCUGAGAUCCAAAGCAACAAGACAGCAGCAAGAAGUUUUUAUCUGAGAAACAGAACCUGCUUUCAGUCGGGAAUCAACAGGCAGUGCAGGGAUAUGCAGUUUUCCAAAUGACUUUAUACACACACGGCAAACAGCAGCAGAGGAAAUUCCUGAUUUGCCACCAGAGCCAACUGAUGCAUAGACCUACUUCAGGACAGCCCUGCAUCACCUUGGGCUACACCUAAAAGUGAAGGUUAGAAUAUGGUUCAUAGUAAAGUUAACAGCAAAACCAUCCCCUAGCAACUAAUAGAUGAGGACUUCAAUUACAGCAGUUAUCACGAGCUCCUACUGAUUCACUGACUACAGUUGGACACCAGGACAAGUUGUCUGGGAAGCUGCCUUGGCUGUCCUGCCAGGUGUUGCUGCAGUGCCCCAAGUGUGUGAUUCGCCAAGUUUUCUAGAGCUCCUCAAUCGACAUUCAUUCAUUAGCGAAUACAAUGAGCUGAUACAUUUAAAAAAUUAACUUGGUGUCCCAAUAUUUCAAUGAAUCCACAAAAGUAAAGUCAAGGAAAAACAGAGGACAAAGCUAGAUAAGUCCUCAACAUCUCCAAAUGGUGCAAUGAAGUUGGCAGCAGAGUCAAAAUCUCCAGGGGUUCACUGUACCAGAUGCAAGAAGUCUGAGGUUGCUGUGGCUGAUAAUGACAGCUCCUGCCUUAUUCACAUAGGUAAAGCCUCUAAUACUUAAUCAUCUGCAAUUCAAAAUGAAUAAAAAAAACCCCCAUGCCUCCAAAAGCUCAGGUUCUGUUUCAUUGUUUUUAAAUUAACAGCAAAAAGCAAAAUGAUGCUCUUCACAUUUUUAUACUUAAUUCCUUGCAUCUGUCUCCUCCACCUUCAGACUGAAGAAAUCACCCCUUAUUUUUAGCUAUAGCCUGCAGAGUCACUGACAAGCUUCCGCUCCUUUUCUGGACUUCCAGAAGGAAGAAAGAUCACAGGAGCAAGGCAAUGCAAUCAGUCACACCAGGACAGUUUCUUGAUCCUUUGAAAGUGACAAAUGGCUAGGAUCCUACCUAGAAUCUGACAUCUGCCACAAGCCCAUAAUAUGAUUUGGCUUGUGGAGAUGUUGCGAGCGCAAGUGAGAUUCGUUACUUGCUCCUACACCAACCUAUGAGGUAACACAAGAUUUCACUUCUAUCUCCUGAUGCAAAGUCAAAACGCAGUCAGUGCUCUUGCCAAUACAGAAGGGAGCUGGACUGCUCAGACCUGGGAGGGGACAUGUGCCUGGGCUGUUCGUAAGGUCCAAAACCUCAUUCACUGAAUUUCUUGCUUACCUGAUCUUUAUAACAAUUUAAAUGUAAGGAGUCAGCUCUUCAUUUUAACAAAACGCACAAUGUAUCAUACUGCCAGCAUCAGCUAAUACAGUUGUUCUAAGGACCGGCUUCUGAAAAGGUUUCUUUGUAAGUGCUUGAUUUCCUGAGAUCACUUUUCAGUCAUAAUCCAGCUAUCAAACCACCCUGUAAGGUGACACCCCUGAAGUAUGACUACUUGGCUUAGAGGAAAGACCACUACCUGAAAGUUAUUUCCUGACAGAGUAACCUCUUUUAGCUCUUUGUUUGCACAUUACCAGAGAGGAAAACACCUGCAAAAUUUGCUAAACUUGGUUUGGAGAUACCAAAGCUAAUCAAUACAAUGUUACUGCAAAACACAGAGUCCACAUUCUACCUAAAACACAUGUGCAAAAACCCAUAAGAAGUCAGUAUUACAUAGCUGACUUUUGAGUGCAAAAAUACCUCCCUCAUCAAUCCUUGCAAAAAAGUCAAAAUGUCGGGCAAAAAUAAAAAUCCCUGUAAAAUGAGUAAAAUUCAGGUAUUGUUUUGCUUCAUAAGAAAAAGAAAAAUGAGCCACACUGAGGACAGUCUUCCUCCAAAUCACUAACUAGAAGGAAAUCAAGUGGUGAAAUUAAAAUAUUUUCCAAUUACUAAAUCUACAGAAAGUGUCAACACAUUGAAACAAUUAAACUGACUAAAAACCUUCCAGGAAGCUGCUAAGUCUCAUAUACUAGAGAACUGAGGAAAAGCAAAAGCUACUUGCACAUGUCAAAAUAUCGAGGACUUCAAAAUUGCCAAAUCCUGUCAAAUUUUCUUGACAGCUUGCACAUACCACUUACUAUUUAAGAUCAUGAUAAAGCAGUAAUAGGAAUAUUCACUGUUAAUUCUUUCAUACUCAAUUAAUAUAAAAUUGCUGGUGCUCCUUACAUGAAUAGAAACCCACAGAAAGCUUGCAGAAGCAUUACUGCUCUCCCAAGUGAUGUCAGAACAGGACGAGAUUACCAUUUGCUUAUUUCCAUAGAGAAAAUGAAAAGCAUCUUGUAGCCAUUACAUAUUUACUUUAUUUUACACGUACAAAGCUGUGUGCUCUAGUCAUUUAUUUUCCUUUGCACUGUGGGUGGAACACACAACCUUUGAAUUAGAUUACUUCAGUUUUCACAGCACUUGGAAAAUACUUGUUACGAUCCAAGUGGCUACGUGUUGCUAUCAAGAAAACGUGGAACUUGAGUAUUCUUUCCUGUGAUGUCUGAUCAGAUAUGCUAACAGCUUAACUCUCCACAGAAGUACAUGAACUGGACUGCACUCCCAUCCUUUAAGACCAGAAACUAAGCUUCAGCUCAGAACAAUGAAAAUAUUCGUCCAUUUAAUUGUUAUCUUUUAAUGGCAUUAAUUCAAAUAUCUCAGAUUAUUCUGGGCAGAUCCCUAGCACCGUGCUCAGGCAUGUACUCUCAUGAAUGGUUCAGCUGUUUUAUCCCUGCCCUGGAGAACCUUUCCUCUUUAACCUCAAUUUGUAGGGUUUUCUUUUAGUGUAUCAGGACAGGAUACAACAUUGGUUUAAUAAUUACCACUACAAUUUUGAUGUGAAUUCUUUGUUGCCCCAGAAAAGGUGUUACUAAAAGCUUUUUAGAAGUAUCUAAUGUACUGAGAGAAUUCUGUUUUACGGGGGUUUUUUUGCUUAUAUUCUUUUAUUACUGAAGGCAAGACAAAUAGCAUUCAUUGGUAGCUCAUCUAUACGUGUGCUCAUUCCCUGAAGCCACACUCUGAGCCCCUUCUUUUUCUUACACUACUUCCAAAGCUACAUAAUAAGCAAGGAAAAUAAUGAAGCUGAACCCUUUCAAUAAAGAAGCUGUUAUUGUGAGAGAGAACAUUUAGUGAUGUUCACCACCUGCAUUCAUCCACACCCAAAGAUUAAGAAUGGAUGUAUGCAGCACAUAAUAGAAGUAAACCGCUGAAGAACAAGGAAUGAAAUUCUUGAUGACUACCAUUAGGAGACAGAACAAGUGACUUACUGGAACUGGACAGCAAGAGAGUGUAUUUCUGUAAGAUUGCAGUGUAUUUUUAGAUUUUUAUAUGCAACACAAGUUCUGGGAAAUAUCAGUAUUUCUACAAGUUUGUGAAUUCUCAAAAGACAAAAUGCUUCUUCAAUCUUGCCUAACAAUUACUGUGAGCAACAGUAAAGCAUAGAUUCAAUAUUUGUCUUGUUUUGCUCUUUGAUGCUAUAUAUUCUUGAAGGGUAGUAUAGAAAACACUUCAGUGUCUUAUCUUAAGGGAAAAAGAAAGACCGACCUGAACUGCAAAGCAGAAGAUAAAAGCCAACAACCACCAAGAAGUGAAAGAAACCCUGAGAGAUAGGGAAGUAAAAGCCAAAAAUGAGGGUUCUAAUUGGCACUUGUUCAACUCCUAACCAUCACGGGCAUUUGCCAGUCAUCAAUACUUUGGAGGCAAAAUAGUAAAACAAAUGUUAAAAAAAAAAAA